ACAAACUUGGUCAUUUAGAGGAAGUAAAAGUCGUAACAAGGUCUCCGUAGGUGAACCUGCGGAGGGAUCAUUACCGAGUGGAGGGCGCUCGCCGCCCGGACCUCCCAACCCUUUGAUUUGAUCAAGACCUCCUUCUGCCUCGGGGGCGACCCGGCCUUCGGGCCCCGGUCCCCCCGGCCGGCACCAACCUCAACUCUGCAUCAAUUGUCGUCGGAUUUUCAUUGAUAAAUUCAAUCAAAACUUUCAACAACGGAUCUCUUGGUUCUGGCAUCGAUGAAGAACGCAGC
rnacentral:misc_RNA from 1 species